GUUAAUCAUCGAAUCUUUGAACGCAAAUUGCACUCUCUGGUAUUCCGGAGCGGAAGGCUGGUUGAGGGUCAUUUUGAAUAAAUAUCGGUGUCGUUGCUGCCUUUCGUGCUUACGCACCGGAUUUGGGUCGUCUUUCCUUCGUUGAAGUGACCCAAAAUUUGCAUGAUUUUUUUCGAACGUAUUUUAUUUAUGUUACUUACGUUUGCGAUAUCGAAUAUUAGGCGUGGUGAUCUCCGUGGUUUG
rnacentral:misc_RNA from 1 species